GGCUGCACCCGUUCCCUUUCCGAACACGGCCGUGAAACGCCCCAGCGCCCAUGGUACUUCGUCUCAAGACGCGGGAGAGUAGGUCGCUGCCAGGU
rnacentral:rRNA from 1 species